GCCAGGCAUGAGCGCCAACCCUCUUUUUGGAAAACAAGGAGGACCACACCCGACACCAGAUCUGGAUCUGGUAGAGGCAGAGAGCAAAGAUCGCUUCAGGUUGUGGAGUCAGAGCAGUGCCUGAAAUGAGUUUGUGCCCCUUCGCUGUCAAGGAAAAAUGGCUGACAAGACGCCUGGUUGUAUUCUCAGCUCCGGAAGGGGAAUGUUACCUAGCGAGGAGAAUGACAGGGAACUUGGCUUCAGAUUUCAGGGCCCAAAACUGAGACCUGGGGGCGGCCCCUGGUGAUGUCACGAUGGGAGGCCCUAGUGAUGUCUAUGCGAUAAUUUGCAGCCAGCUCCAGCUAGGCUGAAGCUUGUAAACCGCAUGCACAGUCUUCUUAAUUUUUUAAAAAAUAUUAUUAUUAA